rnacentral:rRNA from 1 species
AUUGAACGCUGGCGGCAGGCCUAACACAUGCAAGUCGAGCGGAUGAAGGGAGCUUGCUCCUGGAUUCAGCGGCGGACGGGUGAGUAAUGCCUAGGAAUCUGCCUGGUAGUGGGGGAUAACGUCCGGAAACGGGCGCUAAUACCGCAUACGUCCUGAGGGAGAAAGUGGGGGAUCUUCGGACCUCCCGCUAUCAGAUGAGCCUAGGUCGGAUUAGCUAGUUGGUGGGGUAUAGGCCUACCAAGGCGACGAUCCGUAACUGGUCUGAGAGGAUGAUCAGUCACACUGGAACUGAGACACGGUCCAGACUCCUACGGGAGGCAGCAGUGGGGAAUAUUGGACAAUGGGCGAAAGCCUGAUCCAGCCAUGCCGCGUGUGUGAAGAAGGUCUUCGGAUUGUAAAGCACUUUAAGUUGGGAGGAAGGGCAGUAAGUUAAUACCUUGCUGUUUUGACGUUACCAACAGAAUAAGCACCGGCUAACUUCGUG